rnacentral:rRNA from 1 species
GGGGAAUAUUGGACAAUGGGCGCAAGCCUGAUCCAGCCAUGCCGCGUGGGUGAAGAAGGCCUUCGGGUUGUAAAGCCCUUUUGUUGGGAAAGAAAAGCAGCCGGCCAAUACCCGGUUGUUCUGACGGUACCCAAAGAAUAAGCACCGGCUAACUUCGUGCCAGCAGCCGCGGUAAUACGGAGGAUCCGAGCGUUAUCCGGAUUUAUUGGGUUUAAAGGGUGCUCAGGCGGGGGGUUAAGUCGGCGGUGAAAUUUUGCAGCUCAACUGUAAAAGUGCCUUCGAAACUGGUUCCCUUGAGUGCGGAUGAGGUAGGCGGAAUUUGUGGUGUAGCGGUGACAUGCUUAGAUAUAACGAGGAACUCCGAUUGCGUAGGCAGCUUACUAAGCCAUAACUGACGCUCAAGCACGAAAGCGUGGGGAUCAAACA